rnacentral:tRNA from 1 species
GGGGGUGUAGCUCAGUGGUAGAGUGCUUGCCUUCAUGUGCAAGGCCCUGGGUUCAAUCCUCUGUACUACCA